GACGGAAGGUGCAAGCGUUGCUCGGAAUCACUGGGCGUAAAGGGUGCGUAGGCGGCCGUGCAAGUCUGGCGUGAAAGCCCCGGGCUCAGCCCGGGAAGUGCGCUCGAAACUGCGCGGCUCGAGUGCCGGAGGGGAGAGUGGAAUUCCUGGUGUAGCGGUGAAAUGCGUAGAUAUCAGGAGGAAUACCGGUGGCGAAAGCGACUCUCUGGACGGCAACUGACGCUGAGGCACGAAAGCGUGGGGAGCGAACAGG
rnacentral:rRNA from 1 species